UACAGAGGGGGCAAGCGUUGUUCGGAAUUACUGGGCGUAAAGGGCGCGUAGGCGGCCUGCUAAGUCGAACGUGAAAUCCCCGAGCUCAACUCGGGAACUGCGUCCGAUACUGACAGGCUUGAAUCCGGGAGAGGGAUGCGGAAUUCCAGGUGUAGCGGUGAAAUGCGUAGAUAUCUGGAGGAACACCGGUGGCGAAGGCGGCAUCCUGGACCGGCAUUGACGCUGAGGCGCGAAAGCUAGGGGAGCGAACAGG
rnacentral:rRNA from 1 species